rnacentral:rRNA from 1 species
AUUGAACGCUGGCGGCAGGCCUAACACAUGCAAGUCGAGCGGAGCGGAGGACGGGUGAGUAAUGCCUAGGAAUCUGCCUGGUAGUGAGGGAUAACGUCCGGAAACGGGAGCUAAUACCGCAUAAUAUCAGAUGAGCCUAGGUCGGAUUAGCUAGUUGGUGGGGGAAAGGCCUACCAAGGCGACGAUCCGUAACUGGUCUGAGAGGAUGAUCAGUCACACUGGAACUGAGACACGGUCCAGACUCCUACGGGAGGCAGCAGUGGGGAAUAUUGGACAAUGGUCGAAAGCCUGAUCCAGCCAUGCCGCGUGUGUGAAGAAGGUUUUCGGAUUGUAAAGCACUUUAAGUUGGGAGGCGUUACCAACAGAAUAAGCACCGGCUAACGUCGUGCCAGCAGCCGCGGUAAUUC